rnacentral:rRNA from 1 species
AUUGAACGCUGGCGGCAGGCCUAACACAUGCAAGUCGAGCGGAUGAAGGGAGCUUGCUCCUGGAUUCAGCGGCGGACGGGUGAGUAAUGCCUAGGAAUCUGCCUGGUAGUGGGGGAUAACGUCCGGAAACGGGCGCUAAUACCGCAUACGUCCUGAGGGAGAAAGUGGGGGAUCUUCGGACCUCACGCUAUUAGAUGAGCCUAGGUCGGAUUAGCUAGUUGGUGGGGUAAAGGCCUACCAAGGCGACGAUCCGUAACUGGUCUGAGAGGAUGAUCAGUCACACUGGAACUGAGACACGGUCCAGACCCCUACGGGAGGCAGCAGUGGGGAAUAUUGGACAAUGGGCGAAAGCCUGAUCCAGCCAUGCCGCGUGUGUGAAGAAGGUCUUCGGAUUGUAAAGCACUUUAAGUUGGGAGGAAGGGCAGUAAGUUAAUACCUUGCUGUUUUGACGUUACCAACAGAAUAAGCACCGGCUAACUUCGUG